GUGAGGAAUAUUGCGCAAUGGAGGCAACUCUGACGCAGCCAUGCUGCGUGCAGGAAGAAGGCGCUACGCGUUGUAAACUGCUUUUAACCGGGAAGAAACCCCAGGACGUGUCCUGGGUUGACGGUACCGGAGGAAUAAGCACCGGCUAACUUCGUGCCAGCAGCCGCGGUAAUACGAAGGGUGCAAGCGUUAUCCGGAUUCAUUGGGUUUAAAGGGUGCGUAGGCGGAGCGUUAAGUCAGUGGUGAAAUCCUGCAGCUUAACUGUAGACUUGCCAUUGAUACUGGCGCUCUUGAGUGCGCUUGAAGUGGGCGGAAUGUGCCGUGUAGCGGUGAAAUGCUUAGAUAUGGCACAGAACACCAAUUGCGAAGGCAGCUCACUAAGGCGAUACUGACGCUGAGGCACGAAAGCGUGGGGAUCGAACAGGAUUAGAAACCCCGGUAGUCC
rnacentral:rRNA from 1 species